CACGUAGGGCGCAAGCGUUGUCCGGAAUUAUUGGGCGUAAAGAGCUCGUAGGCGGUCUGUUGCGUCCGCUGUGAAAACUCGGGGCUUAACCCCGAGCCUGCAGUGGAUACGGGCAGACUAGAGGUAGGUAGGAGAGAAUGGAAUUCCCGGUGUAGCGGUGAAAUGCGCAGAUAUCGGGAGGAACACCGGUGGCGAAGGCGGUUCUCUGGGCCUUACCUGACGCUGAGGAGCGAAGGCCAGGGGAGCAAACGGG
rnacentral:rRNA from 1 species